AAUAAGAUGCCUGAUAAAAGGGUUAUUUUGAUAGGAUAAAUCAUGUAUUAAGUUACUCUUAUUA
rnacentral:tRNA from 1 species